CCUACGGGAGGCAGCAGUGAGGAAUAUUGGUCAAUGGGCGUACGCCUGAACCAGCCAAGUCGCGUGAGGGAUUAAUGCCCUGCGGGUCGUAAACCUCUUUUGCCGGGGAGCAACGCUCCGGACGUGUCCGGGCCGGGAGAGUACCCGGAGAAAAAGCAUCGGCUAACUCCGUGCCAGCAGCCGCGGUAAUACGGAGGAUGCGAGCGUUAUCCGGAUUUAUUGGGUUUAAAGGGUGCGUAGGCGGGAAUUUAAGCCAGCGGUAAAAUGUCGGGGCUCAACCUCGGCCUGCCGUCGAAACUGGGUGCCUUGAGUGGGCGAGAAGUAUGCGGAAUGCGUGGUGUAGCGGUGAAAUGCAUAGAUAUCACGCAGAACGCCGAUUGCGAAGGCAGCAUACCGGCGCCCUACUGACGCUGAGGCACGAAAGUGCGGGUAUCGAACAGGAUUAGAUACCCGAGUAGUC
rnacentral:rRNA from 1 species